CAGAGCUUUCAGACCCUCUCAUCAUCUCUGAACUGCUAUAACCUCUUGUCAAAAGGCAAUACGAAUAUUCAUAUUGCUAUUAACUCAUCUGAGCAUUUCAAGUCUGUCUCUUUUCCUCCUGUUUCCAAGAUGUUACUGACUGGCAUACUCUAGCAGUGAUAUCGCUAUUACAUAAACAUCAGUGAGCAAGAAAAUGAGAUAGGUGUAAGCUCUAGUGGCUGCGCUGAACUGCCUAUUACAGAGACAUUAGGGAGGAGCAACAACUGUACAGCACAGUGCAAGCGUUUUUUUGCAGCCAGGCCUCCAACUCUCACCAAGUGUGCUAAUGGCUGUGAAGGGUGCUCUUUGAGAAAAAAACACGGGUUACAAGAAGUAUUAAAUGUGUGUGCAGAAACAUCUUGGUGAGUUAAUAUCCAGUAAAGAAUGCUGGACACUUAGUGAUUGUGUUUGGUGACCCAGUUAGGAGUUUUACAAAAGCAGUCACCAUCCUUUUGAGUUGUGACUUCCCCAGUCAUUUUCCUUUUUUAAGUCCCUAAUUUAACAAAACACUUAUCUGUCUCUCCCUGAAAAUUUUUGACUGUGGAAACACAGCUCAUGAGGUCUGGAAGACUUCUGGAUCAUGCCUUCAGCUUCCUUUCCUUGUCUGCAAGUGAGGGGUUAUCACAGGUCAGCUGCAGAAUAGAAAACAUGGCAGUAAAUUGUGGGGUAUAGACAGACAUACCCCAGACUUGUGGCACCCAUUAAUAGAUCAGGCAAGCCUGUGCAGCUGUGUUUUGAUCAGUUGAAAGGUUUCCUGGCGUCUGAGAACCAGAAUCACCUUUUGGAUGUGACAAGUGCAUCUGAGUAUCUAGCAAGUGAAAAUCAAGGGUUUCUGUAAGGAAGGAGUAAGAACACCUACCACAAAAAAUUAAAAGUCAUCACACCUCACUGGAGGUUUCCCUGGUUUAAUGAACAACUCAGAAAACAUAGAGAGGAAAAGAUGAUGGGGGUCCUUGUACAUUCUUUCAUUUGAAAGCUGCUUCAUAGCAUCUGCAAGAGGAUUUUUGGCACCUGCCUUGUUAAACUGGUUGUCCAAUAUUAUGUCUCCAGGCAAGUAAGAUUCUGGCAAUCAUUAUCAUCCUGUUUCACUUGUUCUCAGUCUU